rnacentral:rRNA from 1 species
GUCUGCCUUGUAGCGGGGGACAACAGUGGGAAACAGCUGCUAAUACCCCGUGUGCUCCUCCCGGUGAAAGAUUUAUUAAAUGAAGAUGAGCUCGCGACAGAUUAGCUAGUUGGUAGGGUAAGAGCCUACCAAGGCUUUGAUCUGUAGCUAGUCUGAGAGGACGACUAGCCACACUGGGACUGAGACACGGUCCAGACUCCUACGGGAGGCAGCAGUGGGGAAUAUUCCGCAAUGGGGGCAACCCUGACGGAGCAAUACCGCGUGGGGGAGGACGGCCUUUGGGUUGUAAACCCCUUUUCUCAGGGAAGAACACAAUGACGGUACCUGAGGAAUCAGCCUCGGCUAACUCCGUGCCAGCAGCCGCGGUAAGACGGAGGAGGCAAGCGUUAUCCGGAAUUAUUGGGCGUAAAGCGUCCGCAGGUGGCCUAUCAAGUCUGCUGUUAAAGCCCAGGGCUCAACCCUGGAUCGGCAAUGGAAACUGAUAAGCUAGAGUGCGGUAGGGGUAGAGGGAAUUCCCGGUGUAGCGGUGAAAUGCGUAGAGAUCGGGAAGAACACCAGUGGCGAAAGCGCUCUACUGGACCGCAACUGACACUCAUGGACGAAAGCUAGGGGAGCGAAUGGGAUUAGAUACCCCAGUAGUC